UACGUAGGUGGCGAGCGUUGUCCGGAUUUACUGGGCGUAAAGGGAGCGUAGGUGGAUAUUUAAGUGGGAUGUGAAAUACCCGGGCUUAACCUGGGUGCUGCAUUCCAAACUGGAUAUCUAGAGUGCAGGAGAGGAAAGGAGAAUUCCUAGUGUAGCGGUGAAAUGCGUAGAGAUUAGGAAGAAUACCAGUGGCGAAGGCGCCUUUCUGGACUGUAACUGACACUGAGGCUCGAAAGCGUGGGGAGCAAACAGGAUUAGAUACUCCGGUAGUCCCU
rnacentral:rRNA from 1 species